rnacentral:rRNA from 1 species
AGUCGAACGCGAAGGGGGCUUCGGCUCCCCGGUAGAGUGGCGAACGGGUGAGUAACACGUGGGUAACCUACCUCCGGGUGGGGAAUAACCCGGGGAAACUCGGGCUAAUACCGCAUAAUGCAGCGGCACCGCAUGGUGACAGUUGUUAAGGCGGGGGACCGUAAGGCCUCGCGCCUGGAGAGGGGCCCGCGCCCGAUUAGCUAGUUGGUGGGGUAAUGGCUCACCAAGGCGAUGAUCGGUAGCCGGUCUGAGAGGAUGGUCGGCCACACUGGCACUGAGACACGGGCCAGACUCCUACGGGAGGCAGCAGUGGGGAAUCUUGGGCAAUGGGCGAAAGCCUGACCCAGCGACGCCGCGUGGGUGAGGAAGUCCUUCGGGACGUAAAACCCACAAGUGAGGGACGAAUAAGCGCCGGCCAAUACCCGGCGUGACGACGGUACCUCAUGUAAGCCCCGGCUAACUACGUGCCAGCAGCCGCGGUAAUACGUAGGGGGCGAGCGUUGUCCGGAAUUACUGGGCGUAAAGCGCGCGUAGGCGGCUUGGUAAGUCGGUUGUGAAAGCCUCGGGCUCAACCUGGGAACGGCGACCGAAACUGCCGGGCUUGAGUGCGGUAGGGGGUGCUGGAAUUCCCGGUGUAGCGGUGAAAUGCAUAGAUAUCGGGAGGAACAUCGGUGGCGAAAGCGGGCACCUGGGCUGCUACUGACGCUGAGGCGCGAAAGCUAGGGGAGCAAACCGGAUUA